GCUGGGCGUGGUGGUGCAUGCCUGUGGUUCCAGAUACUUGGGAGGCUGAGGCAGGAGGAUCACUUGAGCCUGGGAGGUUGAGGCUGCAGUGAGCCAUGAUUGUACCACUGCACUCCAGCCUGGGUGACAGGGUGAGACUCUGUCUCUU
ensembl:misc_RNA Metazoa_SRP Metazoan signal recognition particle RNA